GGCCGCGGCGCUGCCCCCUGAGCGAGGCCGGGGCCAUAACGGGCCGCGCCGUGGGUGUCCAGAAAUAAAACACUCGUGUAGCGGUGUAAGCUGAGGCAGCUGCACUGGCUGCCGCAGCAGUCUGCUCCCACCUUUCCCGCUCCCACCAUGUGAGGUGUGUGAGGCGGUGCCUGUCUCACCCUGCUGCCGCAGGCGGGCGGGGGCCGGGGCUGCCCCCAAACCUCGGGAGACGCCAAGCGGCCCCGAGGCCCGUGGCAACCCCCGAGGCCCGCGGCGGCCCCCGAGCGGGAAGGUGGUCUGUGCGGCCGCUGCCUGUGGACAUGAAGGUUUCCACGCGCUGCUCCGUUCUGCGGUGAUGUAACUGGCUUUGUUUCCUCUUAGUGAUGUACCUUUUUAUAUCAGAUAUUACACUGCCUUUAAUUUCCUCGUCGCUCGCCACCACUUGAUUUCUCCUCGAGUUAAAUUAGAAAAAUGCCACCUCUUCCGCAGAUCGGCACCAAACGAUACAUCCCAUCAGCCCUUCCGUCUGCUCUCCUUUCAACAGGCUGGGCGUAUUUAUUUUCAAAGUUCAAACUCCAAGUCACAGUCAGUUUCCAGAUUAACACCAGAACAACAAAGGGAUUAUCAGCACUGCCUGGAGGGAACCACCAUGAAUUUCUACCUUAUCAUGUGUUGCCAAUAAGUGGAACUGGAAGUAAAAUCCACAAUACAACUGUACUGUGGACCCAGCACUCCGGAUGUGGCCUCACCAGUGCUGAGCAGAGGAGAAGGAUCACCUCCCUCGACCUGCUGGCAACACUCUGCCUAAUGCAGCCCAGGAUACCAGUGGCCACAAGGGCACAUUGCUGCCUCAUGGUCAACUUGUCCACCAGGACACCAGGGCCUUUUCUGCAAAGCCGCUCUCUAGCUGGUCAGUCCCCAGCCUGCACUGUGCAUGGGCUUAUUCCUCCCAGGGGCAGGACUUGGCAUUUCCUUUUAUUGAACUUCCUGAGGUUCCUCUCCACCCAUUUCUCCAGCCUGUCAAGGUACCUCUGAAUGGCAGCACAGCCCUCUGGUGUAUCAGCCAUUCCUCCCAGUUUUGUAACAUCAGCAAACUUGCUGAGGGUUCAUUCAGUCCCAUCACCCAGGUCAUUAUGAACAUUAUUGACCCCAGUAUUGACCCCUGGGUAUACCUCUAGUGACUGGUCUCCAGCUGGACUUCGUACCACUGAUCACAACCCUUUGAGCCCAGCAGCUCAGCCAAUUUUCAGUCCAACUCACUGACCACUUAUCCAGUCCGUACUUCAUCAGGUUGUCUAUGAGGAUGUUAUAGGAAACAGUCAUAACAUAGUUCUCUUAUUAUUUCAUAUUGUAAUUUUUAAGUCAGCAAUACAUUGUCAACCCACAGCAGAAUAUUUUUCUGAAUAUAUUUAGAAUAUAUGUCUGAAUCUCAGGUUCAGCUUGCAUUCAAGGUGGCUGCUGAAUGGUUGUUUUCAGUAUACUUGGAUUUAAACUUUUUUUUCUCUUGUAACUUAAUUGACUGAGCACCCCCCAACAUGCUCAGGAUAGUCAGUAAAACACAUUUGGACUAAUGUUCUCAGAGAGUUUGCCUUCACUUUGUGUGCUUUCUGGUUGAAUAAUAAUUCUAAAAACUAUUGUAUCUGCAAGGCCUUGAGUAUUGAGCUGCUGACUGACACAGACAACGUGAGGGUGGCUUCAUUUAAUAUUGCAUUCAGAAAUGGAUAGUAGAAUACAAUGUUUCUGGUCAAACAGCCUGACAAAUUUUUAUAUUCUUGUAUUGGUCAACAGCUGCUUUACCUAAAGUACCAUCACUCCUAUUAUAGCUUUGAAAAUACCAUACUUCAGAUUAUAUAUUGCUUUAAUCAGAUUUUACAGAGUUUAGGAAUUCAUUUAGUUGAACUGAUUUGCUAUAAUUUCAAAAAUGAUCUACUGAGUUCAGGAGCAUGUUGAUAUGGGAAGUUGAGAUCCAUGGAUUUCCCUUUUUUUUUUUUCUUCCUUUCUUUUAAUAUGAAAGUUCAAGUUUAUAGGUAAAGCGCAAAAAUAGGAAAGGGUACAGAGAAUGCAGCUACAGAACAAAGAACUGCUUUGGUCAAUCUUAUUACAUACUGAGAGAAAAUAGCAAGAUAUAGAAUAUUUGGUUAUCAUGGGGGGGGGAGUUUCCAGAAUUUCAAGCUGAGAAAAAAAAAAACUAUUACAAAAAGAUGAAAGACAACUAAAAGUGCUGUAUAUUGGGCAUUGUCUUACAGUGCAAGAGUUUAGAUGACAAAAUUACUUUAAUACAGUAGCCAUAACAAAUAGUAAAUAUGUUCAUUGAAGACAAAGGACAACCUUGAAUCUGAUGGGUAAGUUCAAAUUCUGCUCUUUAGUAAUUCUUUUUGAAAGGCAAAGGAAAAUAAAAUCGCAAAGGACACAAGGGUGUAUCCA
rnacentral:lncRNA from 1 species